rnacentral:tRNA from 1 species
UCAACCAGUCAAUUGGGAUUAUAUAUUUAAAACACUUCAAGAAAUCUAUCAAUAAUAUUAUGAACUGUAU